rnacentral:rRNA from 2 species
GGGUUGUGAGGUUAAGCGACUAAGCGUACACGGUGGAUGCCCUGGCAGUCAGAGGCGAUGAAGGACGUGCUAAUCUGCGAUAAGCGUCGGUAAGGUGAUAUGAACCGUUAUAACCGGCGAUUUCCGAAUGGGGAAACCCAGUGUGUUUCGACACACUAUCAUUAACUGAAUCCAUAGGUUAAUGAGGCGAACCGGGGGAACUGAAACAUCUAAGUACCCCGAGGAAAAGAAAUCAACCGAGAUUCCCCCAGUAGCGGCGAGCGAACGGGGAGCAGCCCAGAGCCUGAAUCAGUGUGUGUGUUAGUGGAAGCGUCUGGAAAGGCGCGCGAUACAGGGUGACAGCCCCGUACACAAAAAUGCACAUACUGUGAGCUCGAUGAGUAGGGCGGGACACGUGGUAUCCUGUCUGAAUAUGGGGGGACCAUCCUCCAAGGCUAAAUACUCCUGACUGACCGAUAGUGAACCAGUACCGUGAGGGAAAGGCGAAAAGAACCCCGGCGAGGGGAGUGAAAAAGAACCUGAAACCGUGUACGUACAAGCAGUGGGAGCCUCUUUAUGGGGUGACUGCGUACCUUUUGUAUAAUGGGUCAGCGACUUAUAUUCUGUAGCAAGGUUAACCGAAUAGGGGAGCCGAAGGGAAACCGAGUCUUAACUGGGCGUUAAGUUGCAGGGUAUAGACCCGAAACCCGGUGAUCUAGCCAUGGGCAGGUUGAAGGUUGGGUAACACUAACUGGAGGACCGAACCGACUAAUGUUGAAAAAUUAGCGGAUGACUUGUGGCUGGGGGUGAAAGGCCAAUCAAACCGGGAGAUAGCUGGUUCUCCCCGAAAGCUAUUUAGGUAGCGCCUCGUGAAUUCAUCUCCGGGGGUAGAGCACUGUUUCGGCAAGGGGGUCAUCCCGACUUACCAACCCGAUGCAAACUGCGAAUACCGGAGAAUGUUAUCACGGGAGACACACGGCGGGUGCUAACGUCCGUCGUGAAGAGGGAAACAACCCAGACCGCCAGCUAAGGUCCCAAAGUCAUGGUUAAGUGGGAAACGAUGUGGGAAGGCCCAGACAGCCAGGAUGUUGGCUUAGAAGCAGCCAUCAUUUAAAGAAAGCGUAAUAGCUCACUGGUCGAGUCGGCCUGCGCGGAAGAUGUAACGGGGCUAAACCAUGCACCGAAGCUGCGGCAGCGACACUAUGUGUUGUUGGGUAGGGGAGCGUUCUGUAAGCCUGUGAAGGUGUGCUGUGAGGUAUGCUGGAGGUAUCAGAAGUGCGAAUGCUGACAUAAGUAACGAUAAAGCGGGUGAAAAGCCCGCUCGCCGGAAGACCAAGGGUUCCUGUCCAACGUUAAUCGGGGCAGGGUGAGUCGACCCCUAAGGCGAGGCCGAAAGGCGUAGUCGAUGGGAAACAGGUUAAUAUUCCUGUACUUGGUGUUACUGCGAAGGGGGGACGGAGAAGGCUAUGUUGGCCGGGCGACGGUUGUCCCGGUUUAAGCGUGUAGGCUGGUUUUCCAGGCAAAUCCGGAAAAUCAAGGCUGAGGCGUGAUGACGAGGCACUACGGUGCUGAAGCAACAAAUGCCCUGCUUCCAGGAAAAGCCUCUAAGCAUCAGGUAACAUCAAAUCGUACCCCAAACCGACACAGGUGGUCAGGUAGAGAAUACCAAGGCGCUUGAGAGAACUCGGGUGAAGGAACUAGGCAAAAUGGUGCCGUAACUUCGGGAGAAGGCACGCUGAUAUGUAGGUGAAGUCCCUUGCGGAUGGAGCUGAAAUCAGUCGAAGAUACCAGCUGGCUGCAACUGUUUAUUAAAAACACAGCACUGUGCAAACACGAAAGUGGACGUAUACGGUGUGACGCCUGCCCGGUGCCGGAAGGUUAAUUGAUGGGGUUAGCGGUAACGCGAAGCUCUUGAUCGAAGCCCCGGUAAACGGCGGCCGUAACUAUAACGGUCCUAAGGUAGCGAAAUUCCUUGUCGGGUAAGUUCCGACCUGCACGAAUGGCGUAAUGAUGGCCAGGCUGUCUCCACCCGAGACUCAGUGAAAUUGAACUCGCUGUGAAGAUGCAGUGUACCCGCGGCAAGACGGAAAGACCCCGUGAACCUUUACUAUAGCUUGACACUGAACAUUGAGCCUUGAUGUGUAGGAUAGGUGGGAGGCUUUGAAGUGUGGACGCCAGUCUGCAUGGAGCCGACCUUGAAAUACCACCCUUUAAUGUUUGAUGUUCUAACGUUGGCCCCUGAUCGGGGUUGCGGACAGUGUCUGGUGGGUAGUUUGACUGGGGCGGUCUCCUCCUAAAGAGUAACGGAGGAGCACGAAGGUUGGCUAAUCCUGGUCGGACAUCAGGAGGUUAGUGCAAUGGCAUAAGCCAGCUUGACUGCGAGCGUGACGGCGCGAGCAGGUGCGAAAGCAGGUCAUAGUGAUCCGGUGGUUCUGAAUGGAAGGGCCAUCGCUCAACGGAUAAAAGGUACUCCGGGGAUAACAGGCUGAUACCGCCCAAGAGUUCAUAUCGACGGCGGUGUUUGGCACCUCGAUGUCGGCUCAUCACAUCCUGGGGCUGAAGUAGGUCCCAAGGGUAUGGCUGUUCGCCAUUUAAAGUGGUACGCGAGCUGGGUUUAGAACGUCGUGAGACAGUUCGGUCCCUAUCUGCCGUGGGCGCUGGAGAACUGAGGGGGGCUGCUCCUAGUACGAGAGGACCGGAGUGGACGCAUCACUGGUGUUCGGGUUGUCAUGCCAAUGGCACUGCCCGGUAGCUAAAUGCGGAAGAGAUAAGUGCUGAAAGCAUCUAAGCACGAAACUUGCCCCGAGAUGAGUUCUCCCUGACCCUUUAAGGGUCCUGAAGGAACGUUGAAGACGACGACGUUGAUAGGCCGGGUGUGUAAGCGCAGCGAUGCGUUGAGCUAACCGGUACUAAUGAACCGUGAGGCUUAACCUUACAACGCCGAAG